rnacentral:rRNA from 1 species
CGUACUCGUACAGGGUCCCCGUAAGUUUUAACCGGUACCCGUAGAUUUUUACCCGGGCCCUUAAAAUUUCGAAGGGGGACCCGUGAUUUUCACGUGGGUAACCUGCCCAUAAGACUGGGACCACUCCGGGAAACCGGGGCUAAUACCGGAUAACAUUUUGAACCGCAUGGUUCGAAAUUGAAAGGCGGCUUCGGCUGUCACUUAUGGAUGGACCCGCGUCGCAUUAGCUAGUUGGUGAGGUAACGGCUCACCAAGGCAACGAUGCGUACCGACCUGAGAGGGUGAUCGGCCACACUGGGACUGAACACGGCCCAACUCCUACGGGAGGCACAUAGGAAUCUUCCCAAUGGACAAAAGUCUGACGGAGCAACGCCCCUGAGUGAUGAAGCUUUCGGGUCCCAAAACUCUGUUGUUAGGGAAGAACAAGUGCU